AGUAUAUAUGAUAUUAAUUACAUAAAGAAAAUGAUAAAUCGACGUUUCUGCGUGUAGUAGCUUUAGAUCCAAGGAUCUUGGAUAUUCUUUACCAAGGAUUUUUCCGUAUCUCUACUUUAAAGACUGAUCGGAGAUUUUGAGCAAUUGAAAGCAAGUUACACAAGGUUUUGCGUGGGUUUCUGUUGUCUUUUUCCUGCUUCCAGUUAGUUAGUUUUACG